rnacentral:rRNA from 1 species
UACAGAGGUGGCAAGCGUUGUUCGGAAUUAUUGGGCGUAAAGCGCGUGUAGGCGGCUUUGCAAGUCGGGUGUGAAAGCCCUCAGCUCAACUGAGGAAGUGCGCCCGAAACUGCAGAGCUUGAGUACCGGAGGAGGGUGGCGGAAUUCCCCAAAGUUAGAGGUGAAAUUCGUAAGAUAUGGGGAGGAACACCGGUGGCGGAAGGCGGCCACCUGGACGGUCACUGACGGCUGAGACGCGAAAGCGUGGGGAGCAAACAGG